CCGUUGUACACACCGCCCGUCACACCAUGGGAGCGGGUUCUGCCAGAAGCAGUUAGCCUAACCGCAAGGGGGGCGAUUACCACGGCAGGGUUCGUGACUGGGGUG
rnacentral:rRNA from 1 species